UGCCAGGAGCUUGAUUCAAACAAGCUUUGC
rnacentral:piRNA from 1 species